UCCCCUAGUAACUGCGAGUGAAGCGGGAAAAGCUCAAAUUUAAAAUCUGGCGGUCUUAUGGCCGUCCGAGUUGUAAUCUGGAGAAGUGUUUUCCGCGUCGGACCGUGUACAAGUCUCCUGGAACGGAGCGUCAUAGAGGGUGAGAAUCCCGUCCAUGACACGGACCGCCGAUGCUUUGUGAUACACUCUCGAAGAGUCGAGUUGUUUGGGAAUGCAGCUCAAAAUGGGUGGUAAAUUCCAUCUAAAGCUAAAUAUUGGCGAGAGACCGAUAGCGAACAAGUACCGUGAGGGAAAGAUGAAAAGCACUUUGGAAAGAGAGUUAAACAGUACGUGAAAUUGUUGAAAGGGAAACGCUUGAAGUCAGUCGCGUCUUUCAGAACUCAGCCUUGCUUCGGCCUGGUGUACUUUCUGUUAGACGGGUCAACGUCAAUUUCGAUCGGCGGAGAAAGGUUGAGGGAAUGUAGCGUUGUUUCGGCGACGUGUUAUAGCCCUCUUCUGUAUACGUCGGCUGGGAUUGAGGACCGCAGCGCGCCUUUAUGGCCAGGGGUUCGCCCCAUGUACCGCGCUUAGGAUGUUGGCAUAAUGGCUUUAAGCGACCCGUCUUGAAACACGGACCAAGGAGUCUAACAUGCUUGCGAGUAUUCGGGUGGAAAACCCUUGUGCGUAAUGAAAGUAAAAGUUGGGAGCCUCCGCGAGGGGGUGCACCGACGCCCGGCCCUGACGUUCUCUGACGGUGCUGCGGUAGAGCAAGUAUGUUGGGACCCGAAAGAUGGUGAACUAUGCCUGAAUAGGGUGAGGCCAGAGGAAACUCUGGUGGAGGCUCGUAGCGAUUCUGACGUGCAAAUCGAUCGUCAAAUUUGGG
rnacentral:rRNA from 1 species